AAGCAGGCGGAGUAGCAGGGAGAGGCAGAAGGAGAAGCAGGCUCUCCGCUGAGCAAGGAGCCAGAUGUGGGGCUCCACCCCAGGACCCUGGGAUCACAACCUGAGCUGAAGGUAGCUGCCCAACCAACCAAGCCACCCAGGCGCCCUAAAACUUACAGGUCUUAUAAACUUGACCCACACUGUAUGACAACAGUGCUGCAGAGUGACAAACUGGAGCAUCACAUUGAGAGCACCGUGGACCAGCCCGGACAUGCCUAAUGGGGCAGGUUAAAAACAGUGUAAGUUACUCUGCUUCUUCCAGAUUAAUUUGGAACUGAAGAGAACAUGACAGGAGGUGUAAUACUUGUUUGUUCAAGCUUUUAACUACAAUGUAAAAGGACCAGUGGUUUUACUAUUAUUUUUCCAUUUGGCUUCCUGGCACCUCGAAUUCAAUCAGUGUCCUGCUGUUCAGAGGUAUUUUGAAGUGUGCCAAGUCUUAAUUGAAGUGGAAGUGCCUGAAACCGAGUUAAUACCACGAGCAACAGGGAGUCGAAUUUAUGGAGGAUCUCACAGACCACAGCCAAGAGUUUGGAUUUCAUUCUCAAUGCUGCAGAAGAUUUUAAGCAAAACGGGGAUGUAGUCUGAUUCCUGUCUUUUCAAAAAGAUCAUUUGAUUGCAGUGUGGAGAAUGCACUGAAAUGGAGGUCGGGGGGGAGGUGGAGGCCACUUGCCACGCAGGAGGUGGUGGGAGGCAGUGGCUACAGCAGUGGAAGGACAGCUCGGUUCUAAAUCCGCCCCCCACCCCCACCCCAAGUAGGUCAGAGCCCACUGUAGGCUCUAGCAGACAAAGAUUCUCCAAGGGUUCCCAUCAGCUGGUUCAUAAAACAUCUCUCGAGGGCGUGCCCAGCACAGGGGUUAGGACUGAUGCUGUCUCACGGAGUAGACCAACCCCCCGCGCCCCGACAAAUUAAAUUGUAAGAUGCCAGGCCUCAGGCACUGGUGACCAUGAGCACUAGAGACAGGGGUGUCAGGGAAGAUCUUUCCCACGCCACAGACACCUGCUUUCAGGACCUUUGGCAACAACGUGAACUAUAUCCUGUCUAGGCCACCUUUCUAUUUUCUGGCCCAGAAAUCCGACUGAUCCCAUCUCCCACACCGACAACCAUCCAGACCCCUUUUGCCCACUGUAGCUACCCCUACACGGGUCUGAUUUUAAAGUGGUGUUGUAACCUAAAUGGCUUUUUAACGUUUGGUGUGAGUGGGAGACAGAUUUAAGGUCUGGUGGCCUUGCCAGCCCCCCUCGGGCUGCAGCUGAAUAGGAAGGCCACAUUACAAGCUUGGAAUGCUGCAUGGGUUCAGAGAAGGCCAACCUCAGGGCAAGACCUCUCGAGAGACGGGCCAGGGGCUAAGCCCCCGUUUGGAAGCUGGAUCUUGGAAUGCCGAUGGGGAGCCAUCCUACAGUUUUUGCGAGGUGUGGCUUUUCUCUCUCGUUGCUUUUAAGAUCUUCUCCUUGUCUUUGA